rnacentral:rRNA from 1 species
GUGGGGAAUUUUGGACAAUGGGCGCAAGUCUGAUCCAGCAAUGCCGCGUGCAGGAAGAAGGCCUUCGGGUUGUAAACUGCUUUUGUACGGAACGAAACGGUUCUGGUUAAUACCCGGGGCUAAUGACGGUACCGUAAGAAUAAGCACCGGCUAACUACGUGCCAGCAGCCGCGGUAAUACGUAGGGUGCAAGCGUUAAUCGGAAUUACUGGGCGUAAAGCGUGCGCAGGCGGUUGUGUAAGACAGGCGUGAAAUCCCCGGGCUCAACCUGGGAAUUGCGCUUGCGACUGCACGGCUGGAGUGCGGCAGAGGGGGAUGGAAUUCCGCGUGUAGCAGUGAAAUGCGUAGAUAUGCGGAGGAACACCGAUGGCGAAGGCAAUCCCCUGGGCCUGCACUGACGCUCAUGCACGAAAGCGUGGGGAGCAAACAGGAUUAGAAACCCUGGUAGUCC